CAACAUCGACCGGAUCGCUCCAAGUCUGCACAUUCGCAGUGACGACAUCGACCGGAUCGCCCCAAGUCUGCACAUGCACAGUGACAACAUCGACAGGAUCGCCCCAAGUCUGCACAUGCGCAGUGACAACAUCGACCGGAUCGCCCCGAGUCUGCACAUGCGCAGUGACACACCACCUAGUCGUCCGAACGCCGCAGUUUUCAGUUUCCGGAACAACGCAAACGUGUCCCACUCGAAGGUGCAGUACCUAAUACAGACUCAACUCCAUGUUCCGGUGCGAAGUAUCCAGUUUGAUCCCCUCGAUAUCCGGUCAUCGCGACCAGGUGUCGAAUCCCGCUGGGUCGUCAAAUUUUGUACUACAGCGGAUGUGGCAAAACCUAAACAUGUCGGGACUUCUGGUGGACACGGACCGGCUGGUGUUUGACCAGCACGAUGACGUCACUAGGCGCAAAACCGCGGCCUAUAGAAACUACACGGAGGUUGUUAACGCCCAUGCCGUGAUAGUGACGUCUGCCGAUAACGCAGUGCGCGGGAAACUUAAACACGCAGUUUCCAGCGGUCGAUGUCACUCAAGACAUUAAAGAUAUUAUGAAGAUAACUAAAUGCAAGUGACUUUUUGAAACUAUGUGACUAUGUCGUUAUGUUAAUUAAGGUUGUUUGGGAUAUGUACACUAGCAUGUACCGACAGUGACUCGAUUACUACACAUUCAAGUGGAAUACUUACAUAAACGCCAUUUAAUUUCAAACAUCCACAAUACGCUUCCCUUUUGUUGUCGAAGUUUUUCUUUGUUUUGAAUACUUAGUAAUAGAAUACAUGUAUUGAUAAUA